CCCUUAGAUGUUCUGGGCCGCACGCGCGUUACAAUGAAUCGUUCAACAGGUUUCUUCCUGAGUCGAAAGGCUUGGGUAAUCCUUUAAAUACGGUUCGUGCUAGGGAUAGAUUUUUGCAAUUAUUAAUCUUGAACGAGGAAUAUUUAGUAAACGCAGGUCAUCAGCCUGCAUUGAUUACGUCCCUGCCCUUUGUACACACCGCCCGUCGCACCAACCGAUUGGAUGUUUUGUUGAAAUAUGUGGAUGCUUGUUGGGUGAAUUCAUUUUUGCUUGAUAGACAGAAACGUAUUAAAACUGAAGAUCUAGAGGAUGGUGAAGUCGUAACA
rnacentral:rRNA from 1 species